rnacentral:rRNA from 1 species
UACGGAGGGUGCGAGCGUUGUUCGGAGUUACUGGGCGUAAAGCGCACGUAGGCGGUGCGGUAAGUCAGGGGUUAAAUGCUGCAGCUCAACUGCAGUACGGCCUUUGAUACUAUCGUGCUAGAGUGUCAGAGAGGAUGGCGGAAUACCCGGUGUAGCGGUGAAAUGCGUAGAUAUCGGGAGGAACACCAGUAGCGAAGGCGGCCAUCUGGCUGAUAACUGACGCUGAGGUGCGAGAGCGUGGGGAGCAAACAGG